AAUUAAUGUUUCUUAUGAUAAGAGAGUGAAGCGGUCGUGUAUUUGUCGUUAAUUAAUAAUUAAAUUGGGCAAAAAUAGUGAGAAAAAGAAGUUAAACCGUAGAAUUCUUCGGUUUGGUGAGUCCUUGCAAUUGAAAGUCUUUGAUUCCCGAGUUGUAGCUGUAUUUUUAACUGCCUGUUGCAAAAGUUUCGCGGCACUAUAAAUAAUGUUUAAGCGUGCAUUCAAAGUUGUACUACGGCCAGUUGUAAAAAACAAUUUUGUUCUGUUACCCGAGAGCUAUUAUAAAGUGGUGUCCACAUAUGACAAUGGAUGUCUUCAGUUGCAGUACGAAGCACGAACGCACUAUGUAUCUUGGGCCCCGGAAGGCAGCAGUAAAGACAACGAAAUUGCUAUAAACGCAAGAGUUGCCAAAGAGAUUGGACUCAAUGAAAAUGAUUUUGUAAAAUGCACUUUAGUCGUGGAUGUUCCCAUUUUGCGAAAUGUCUUCCUUACACCCGUUUCGAAAAAGGAUUGGGAAAUAAUAGAGCUGAGUAGUGAACACAUCUCGGAUAGUGUUUUGGAGCAGACACGCAUUGUCAAUUCCAAUCAAAUUUUAAUAGUUUGGGUAAAUAAAUCCAUACAAGUAGCAUUGACGGUGGAUCGCUUGAAACCAAAUCUUACUUAUGGUAGAAUUGACCAUACAACACAAUUGAUUAUAUCGCCUGAUGUUAUCAGUAGUAACUCAAAUGGAGCAACUGAAAGUAUUCUGCGCAGUAAAACUGUCUCUAAUGUGCCCAAUGGCGAUCAACGGGGCGUUUUCGAACAGGGGCUGUCCAAAUCGUCGACCAGUAAACAAUUUAAAAAUAAUCAGAAUAUAGCCAAAUCUAGUCGGCACGACAAAAUGGAACGUUUGAAGAAAGACUUGUGCAGAGAAGCAAGUAAAUUUGUGGAGUUCAGAGUCAUAUCUGGGUCAUGGUCGGAUGACACACAAAUAUCGGACGUUUUCGUCAAUGAUAUUAACUGGCCGCCUAAUAUGGACCCAAUGUUAAUUUACUGUCUUCGUACCAUGGAGGAUCGUGAAUACUACGUUCGCAUAAACUUGAUUACUGCCGGCGAAUUUCUGACAACAAUUCACCCCACCAUAGAGAUAACUGCAAAUCUGAUGAAACUAUUAGAAUUGAAGGAAUUGGAAAAGGUGGUUCUCAAACCGAAGCCAAUGGUUGUCAAUUUUGUUGAGAAAAUUGAAUUGUUCGCCAACAAGAAAACGCAUUAUAAGGUAGUAGAAAACGCUUUUAAACGUUUUGUAAAAGAAAAAACAGAAGAAACGCCCCUUUUAUUGAACCAAAAUGAAGUUGUACGAUUAGAGGACGACCUCGUUGUAACGGUUGGCAUACUACCGGAACACUUUCAUUACUGCGCGGUCGAUUCACAAUUUCUAAAGGAAAGCAAAAUAUACGCUGCUGAUGUGGUGCGAAAUGUCGAUGACAUACUUUGCGUUAAACCCCCUGUUGAGACUCCGAUCUUUUCUAAAGAUGUUAUAAAGCUUCGUGAUUUCGAUUUAAAAGUUGAAGAUCUGAUAAGUGAGUUGAGAAGAAACCUUUGUUUAGAUUCUACAAAUUCUGUUUUGCGGCAGGCGAAUAUUCUUUUGACAGGUUCUUCGGGUGCUGGGAAGACUGUUCUGGUUGAGCGUAUACUUAAUGAGUUGGUUCGCAAACCAUACUUCUGUCAUUUUGAAAUAUUUAACUGUACACGUAGCAAAGGGCGAAAGGCCGAGUCUGUGCAAAAAGAUUUGCGUACAGUUUUUACUACAUGUAUUCAAAAAGCGCCUUCAAUUGUGGUUUUGGAAAACCUAGAUGUCCUGGCUCAUGCAUCAGGUGAUCAGGCAACACAAGACAACGAAUACUUCAAUAGAAUAGCCGAUGUUGUCCAUCAACUUGUCGUUCAAUAUACAACGUCUCAUCCAAUUGCUGCUAUAGCCACUGCCAACGAAGUGCAUUCUCUCAAUAAACGCGUAUACUCGCCACGAGGCCGGCACCUUUUUCAAACAAUUGUAAAUCUGCCGGGAUUAGAGAGGCAAGACCGGGAAGUGGUACUUAAGGAACUUUGUAGCCACAUUGAAACUGACAAACUGGAUUUUGAGCGGUACGCCCUUCUAACGGAGGGGUACAACAAAGGAGAUUUAGUGCAAUUUAUUGAAAGAGCAAUAUUCUACGCAUAUCGUUUAAGUAAAACCCGUCCGGUGCUCUCGAACGAACAUUUGAAAAAGUCUUUGGAAAACACUAAUUCCUAUUGCCUAAGAGGAAUAGAGAGUCAUCAAACCACCGACCAUACUUCUGAUGUGGGUGAUUCAUGCGAUGAAAAUAAUGUACACGGUUUAGAAUCGGUAACCUCCGUUCUUGAAGAAGUUCUCAUGUGGCCGUCAAGAUAUCCAAAAAUAUUUAACGAAUCGCCUCUGCGUAACCAAGCAGGUGUACUUCUCUACGGGCCGCCUGGUACCGGAAAGACGUUUUUAGUCUCAAAACUUGCUAAAAAGUGGAACCUUCGAACAAUAUCUGUUAAAGGUCCGGAAUUACUCGCAAAAUAUAUUGGACAAAGUGAGGAGAACGUUCGCAACUUAUUUAAUAGGGCACGGAGUGCGAAGCCAUGUCUUCUUUUCUUUGACGAAUUCGAUAGCUUAGCACCCAAACGUGGCCACGAUUCUACCGGCGUAACGGACCGCGUAGUGAAUCAGUUGCUGACCGAGCUUGAUGGUGUCGAAGGAUUACAAGGUGUUACUGUGAUUGCAGCAACAUCUCGGCCCGAAUUGUUGGAUCCGGCAUUACUUCGUUCCGGUCGUAUUGACCGAUUGGUUGAAUGUACACUUCCCGACUUUUCUGCCCGCGUAGCAAUUUUCGAAGCGUUAUCCACAACAUUAGCCCUUGAUGAGUCAGUGGAUUUCUCUUACUUCGCCGAGAGAUCGGAAAAUUAUACUGGUGCUGAUAUUCAGAGCGUCCUAACAUCUGCCAAUAUGAUUGCCGUAAAAGAAGCUCUUGAAAAGUUUGGACAAGAGUAUUGCGGAGUUAAUUGGCGAUUAUCUGAUUCUCAAAAUGUAUCCCAGAUUGAGAAGUCUGCCAUGGAUGACAGCAACGCAAUGACAUGUAGAAAAUGAUUGCCUCUGUUGGUUUUGGAUUUUAAACAAAAAAAGUGUGAAUGGGUUUGACGGAAAUAUCAACCUAAUCCGCAAAAGGUUGCGUGAUGCCACAUACGAUUUGGAACUUCCAGGAAAUAGAUCACUCAUCUAAGAACAUAUUUUCAAAUAAAAUGAGACAUAUAGUUUGCUUGCUGGAUAUAAAUCCUGACUGUUUAGUGAAAAUAUUUUCAUUCUGCAGCGAAAAGGAUCUACAAAACCUUUGUAAAGUACAUUGGAUGCUGAGGCAAGUGAUUGAAAAUAACAUCUUUAGCAUCAAAACGCUAGACUUACUUAUGUGUGGUCGUCGCAAUGACCCGAUCAUAAUGCAACGCACCCAGUAUGCACUAUCUUUUGGCAAACGUAUGGAAAUUUCUAAGAAUUGGUUAAAUGGCUGCUAUCGUGAGCAACAAUACUUUCACCGUACUAAAAUGUUUCCAACCAAACUCUUUCUUGAUAAAGAAUGGCUGUACUUGUCCUACGCUUGUUAUAUUAGCCAACAUAAGCGUUUAAAGAAUGAAGCAGUUCAAAGGAAGUAUUUUCAUGAGAUUUCGUCAAAAAACAACAACGACAUAUCAGAUUUUACCAAGAAACAUGAGUCCAUAUUUGCUGGCAGAGUAUCAGGAGGCUGUUUUAUAUACGAAGAUGAGUGCAUGACGGAACAACAGCUGCAUUGUCCCAAAGAAUACUUGUGGUGUGUUGACUUUGAAAGAAAUUUAUAUGUUACAAGUACUGAUCACUGUUCUAAAAUAUGGAGAAGAUCAGAGGAAAUGGGAUUGCUACAUCUGGAUUUAGUAUCAAACUUGAACGGCUCAUACAAAGCUCUGCAGUUCAGUAAUGAUGGGUUUCGUCUUUACGGUGGUCUUUACGCUUCAAUUAUAGAUCGCCGUGCACUGCAUGAAAUUGAUGUGGAAAGUGGGGCCGAAUCCAUCUUGAACUCCAAUACAAUUUCAAUUUAUGAUCUUAAAAUUAAAGAUGAAAAUGUGCUGUUUACCGCUAACUUCGACACUACCUUUCGAAUGUACGAUCGACGUUCGAACAAAGACGAGCAUAUAUGGGAAGAUCCGUUCGAUUCGUCGUUUUACUGUCUUGAAUACGAUGGCUUAUACGCAGUGUUAUGCGGGACUAAACAUCAUAGUCGAGUAAACCUAUAUGACAUACGUGUUCCAUCAAAACACAUGCAGUUAUAUUUCCCACAAUCCCGAGACAAACGCCGAAGAGAGUUUAGAUCAUCUCCUGUAUAUAGUAUAGCUUGUGAUAGUCGAUAUUUAUUUGUGGCCACAGAUCGCAGUGUGCAUGUAAUGGACUUUAAGGUGAACUGUGGCACAUGUAGAGACUACAGCAAUAUUAAUGUCUUUCGGCAAUAAUAAAUCAAAAAUAAAGUAUACUGGCACCGUUCAA